CCGUCAGUCAUACCGGGUCAAAAAUUUUGACCCGAGCCCGCCCAUAAAACUCUUCGGGUCGGGUCGGGUCGGGCUAUUUUCGGACGGGUUGGGUCGGGUCCGUCGGGUCGGACAGCUCAUGCCCAAAUCUAACCAACGGAAGCCGCUUCUUCGACGGUGCCGGCAUCUUCUUCAGCAGUAGCCCGAUGCCUGAACCAUGGAUGCAACAUUCCGAUCCUACAUGGGUGCGUAUUUGGAGACUGAUCAGACUGAAACUCACGAAGUUUUACACCAACAGGAAGAGUGACAAUAUCAAGCUCAUCAACUCUUUUUACUGCUUCCACUUGCCAUUGUACGCUCUUUAGCCCACAAUUGUGCAAUGCCAAAACCAGGGGAGUUGC